rnacentral:lncRNA from 1 species
GCCGUGUAAGCAUCGCCCUCUGGCUAAGCUUUCCAAGACUCCUUUUCUCUUCUCUGAGCCCACACAGAUGCAGCUUCUAGGAAUGUGACGUUUGGAAUCAGACAUGCUUCUUCCAGUCUUAGCUCCAUCAGUCAUUGCUGUGUGGUCCAGUGUAUACUGUUCCUGCUCUGACAAGUAUCCUUUUUAUUAAAAAUCUGGUU